CUUAAUUAAUUUUCUUAGUGGUUUGCGUAUUUCUUUGGAUAGCUGCCAUGAAUAUUUUGGAGCCAAUGUGAAAAAACUCUUAACUGAGACUUUUGUCAAACAGCUCUAUUUGAAAAGGGAUAAAGUUAUAUCCGAUAUGGAUGCCGAAACAAAAUUUUUCUAUACCUGGGGUCAUAGAGCUCACAUUGAGUUCGAUAAAAAGCUAGUUUUUGAAUCGACAGCAAAGAUUCUCAAGAAGCCCACUAGUGUAUUUGUGGCAAAAUACAAUGAAAUCUAUGG